GAUGAACGCUGGCGGCGUGCCUAAUACAUGCAAGUCGAGCGAACAGACGAGGAGCUUGCUCCUCUGACGUUAGCGGCGGACGGGUGAGUAACACGUGGAUAACCUACCUAUAAGACUGGGAUAACUUCGGGAAACCGGAGCUAAUACCGGAUAAUAUAUUGAACCGCAUGGUUCAAUAGUGAAAGACGGUUUUGCUGUCACUUAUAGAUGGAUCCGCGCCGCAUUAGCUAGUUGGGAAGGUAACGGCUUACCAAGGCAACGAUGCGUAGCCGACCUGAGAGGGUGAUCGGCCACACUGGAACUGAGACACGGUCCAGACUCCUACGGGAGGCAGCAGUAGGGAAUCUUCCGCAAUGGGCGAAAGCCUGACGGAGCAACGCCGCGUGAGUGAUGAUGGUCUUCGGAUCGUAAAACUCUGUUAUUAGGGAAGAACAAAUGUGUAAGUAACUAUGCACGUCUUGACGGUACCUAAUCAGAAAGCCACGGCUAACUACGUG
rnacentral:rRNA from 1 species